AAUGGCUUAAAAAAUUAAACUGGGAAUAAAGCUUCAUCUGGGGACCAUAGGCUCCUCAUACAACCCAGCCUCUCCCUCUCCCCUCUGCACAAAACCUUGCUGUAGUUUCUCUCCUACUUCAGCUUCCAAUGUAGUUACCCUGUAUUUUUAGGAGCCCCUUCCCCUUUAUCAGAAGGCCUCCAGAGUCGCCAAGUCCUCCAGGAAGACUUCUUCCACAUCCUUGGAAAGUCUGUGAUCACGGCAACUUGUUUGCUGCCUAGGAUGCCCUCCCUCUGGACGCUUGCUUGUGAAGCCCUCAGCUCAUCUUUUCAUUCUGAGCUUAAGUAGUGAAAUCUGAAAUUUGAGCUCCCCAAUCUGACCAGGGUUCUUCUUCCCUGUGCUGUCGUGCCGUUUCAUCUCUGUGUAGUCAUCAUACUGGAUGGUCCUUUACGUGGAUGUCUAUCUUCCUCUGUGACUACACCCUGGAGAGCACGGGCAGGGUGGGCUCAUCUUCAUGUCCCUGGUGCUUGACAUGGAAGAGGCAAAAUGCUUCCAAAAGGACUUAUUCCAUUACUGAAUAUCCGUAUGAUAGAUGGUUAUGCAGCCUUUAAUACCAUGGUUUCCAAGAUAGUUUAAUAAUAUAAAAAGAUGCUUACAUUUUGCAUAAUAGAAAAAAGUGUACAAAGCUAUAUAUACUAUGAUUCUAAUUCUAUACUCAUAAAGAUAUAUAUUUUUUAUAAUUAUAUGGAUAUCUACAUAUAUAAAUAUAUACACAGAGAAAAAAAGAGACUAGAAGGAAGUGUACCAAAAUCUCAUCUGGUUUUGAUUGUGGAAUUACAUGCUAUUUGUAAUAAAUAUUUUUCUCUAGAUUCUCUAUAGUAAACAUAUACUACUGUUACAAUCAGAAUAAAAAAAUGCGAUUUUUAAAUGAGUUGCAAACACGAACCAUCUUAUAGUGGUGGGAGCACCCCUAAGCCAGUUAGAAUAAAAUUUGGUAAAAUCAAGUACUGUUAAUAAGUGUGUGGUGCCCUGAUAAGUGGGAAAAUAAUAUAAGAGCAUAUAUUUUGGUUAAUAUUCACAGUUGCCUUCUUUACAUAGUUUCCUCAGUAGCACAGGAGAUACUUAAACGAGUCUGCCUCUUACAAGAUUGAAAGUAAUACAUUUUUAAACUAAGGGCUACUGAGAUCACAAAGACACAGAAUUAGGCAUAAAACUCUUUACUAACAGUUCUCCAGGGAAUUUAUCCUCCUAGCACCCCCAGCCCCCAGAAUGAUCUACAGGAAAGUUAAGAUGCAAUUACUUACAGCAUCAGAACACGUCUUUGCUCUGGAUGAUGUGGUAUAUGAUUAAAAUGGGAGACUAAUUUUAAUGGUUAAAAAAUAAAAAGAGCAAGGUAGCAUUUUCUUUUUAAUCUAUGGCUAUGGCAUUAAAUGCCACAUUAACAAGCCUUCUGCAGGGAGGUUCCUUGCAAGAUUAUGACACCUACUCUUUUCUUUGUUCCUCAUUCUCAGGAAAGAACUGAAUUCGCCAGGCCAAUGAGACAGCCAGUCCAGUACUCUGAGUGCCUUUUCAGCUAGAACAUAGUUUCAUGGUUAGUCUUGGGCCUGGGAGUCUGACAGCCAGGGCUGCUUGGCUUCAUCACUUAUAAGUGACGAACUGAGGCUCAGUUUCUCUAUGUGAAAAAUGGGGACAUGAAUACCUACUUUACAAAGUUAUUGAGGAUUCCACAAGAUAAUACAGGUCAGGUGCUCACCACGGCAUCUGAAGCAUAACAAGUGCUCAAAAUGUGGCCAUAUUUGGGACCUAGUUUUACUCCCACUCACUUUCAUUUUGACUGAUUGCUUGACUAGUUUUUUUUUUUCUUUUGCAGCUUCAGUUUCUUCCAGUUCAUUGUAUGGAUUUAUUGUCACAGCCAUGGAAGACCUGUCCUUUACUUUUUCCUCUUUGGCUUGUGGUUUCUGCAUAUUGAUCUCAGACGUUUGAAGACAAGAACUCCUCAAGGGAAACACCUCAAAUUUGCAUUCAACGCAGCUCCAAUUCUGUGUGUUUGCCAUACAUACUUUGCAGUACUAACGAUAGAGAUACCAUCUGAUCUGCCCUGUGCUAAACUGUAUCCUGAGUAAAUGGGAACUUGAGGAUGUACUGCAUUUUUGAAGCAGGCGCACCAGAGGUUAUUCAGAACUGUAAAAGAGGGGCCCCGCACAAGAACCUAAAAGGCUGCUGGGCCUAGAACAAUCCAUGGAGUGCAGAGCACUGAACCAGCAGGAGUCCGACCUGGGUAAGCUGCAAGCCCUCCCUGGGCCCACGUUUUUCUCACCAAUAAAUGAAGGCUUUGGGAAGGGAUGCUUUUAGCUCGGGUACUUCUUAUUUUUCUGUUGCAGCUCAUUUGUUUCAAGAUCUGAAAUUCUGUUUGCCAAAACCCCUUAAGAAUGGGACGAAAGUGAUUUUUUUUAAGUGAUUCACAAAACCAGGAUAUUGCCAAAGAAAAAUACCUCAGCCUACAUCACCUGGACUUUCUGUCAACUUUUCCUUGCUUUUGCUUGUCUGGCACCUGUCUGAUGGAAUGGUGUGUGCCUGGCGGCAGCUGCCUUUUGAAACAACCUUUAUUUUCAAAUGGGUUCUUCUUUACCUAUUAAAUCCCAUCCCUCUGCCCUUUGUGGAACUGGCCUUCUACCUAAACCUAGUUCCAUCUGCUCUAAAUGUUACACACGUUUGCUUUGUAAUCUUGAAACAAUUCUCCAAAACUGUCUAGGUAUAUUUGGAUGAAAAACGUCAAUUGUAUGGAAGUUGUUUUGUUUUCUGUUAAUCAUUUACUUGUCUCAGCAGAUAUCGCCACACAGAUAGAGAGACUAAUUAGGGUCUAAGCAUAUAGACAACUAUUAAAAAGAAAUAACAUGUCAUACAUUUUGGGACACUUCAUAGAUGUUUUUGUACUUUGAUGAAGAAUGUGGAUACUACAAAAGAAAAUCAGGUUUUAACAAAACUCUUACAGAAAUGACAUAUCCAAUAUAUUCAUAUAUAUACACAAGAAUUAUGUGUGACAGGUUGGGAUGUGUGCAUAUAUGAAUAUAUUGGUGUGGGGUGUGUGUGUGUGUGUGUGUAUAUAUUUACCUUUAUGCAAGGGAUACAACAAUACACCUUUUUUUCUUCAUAUGAACCAUCCUCCCACUGCCCAUUAUGUGCUAGUCAGUACUAUUUAAAAUACAGAAAUCCUGUUCAUUAAAAUAUCUUAAUUAAAAUAGACAUUUCUUCCCUUAGAAAAAGAAUUAAAACCUUUUAGGGCCUAGCUUUUAAAAGCAACAUGCUACAGUUGAUUUAUUUUGGUGGUUGUUUUUAUGGAUGUGAAAAAUAUUACCACUGCAACUAGCAAGAACUAUAAAUGAUACAUUAUUGCAAUUGUUCUAAAAAAUCAGAACAAAACUAAUUUAUUAUAGUUCUGUCUUCAUUAUACACCACGUGUUGGUGAGUUAAACACAACAAAAUUGUCUUUUAAAAGUGUCUACUAAAGAUAAAAAGAAUAAGAUAACAAUUAACAUGUAGUUUGUUACAUUAAAAAAUUUGAUAUACAUAUUUCUAUUGCCUGUUAGCUUGUUCUAAGCCUCUUUAUUACAAAAAAAAGGAAAGAAAAAGAAAAUUCAUUGUUUAAAGGCAAACAUUCAAUUCAGUUGAUACAACAUUACAGUACAGUCAACUAACAUCAUUCAACGAAGGUAACAAGUCUAGCCUUAGCUUCUUGAGUUAAAAGUCUGUAGACCA